CCUACGGGAGAAAGCAGGGGACCUUCGGGCCUUGCGCUAUCAGAUGAGCCUAGGUCGGAUUAGCUAGUUGGUGGGGUAAUGGCUCACCAAGGCGACGAUCCGUAACUGGUCUGAGAGGAUGAUCAGUCACACUGGAACUGAGACACGGUCCAGACUCCUACGGGAGGCAGCAGUGGGGAAUAUUGGACAAUGGGCGAAAGCCUGAUCCAGCCAUGCCGCGUGUGUGAAGAAGGUCUUCGGAUUGUAAAGCACUUUAAGUUGGGAGGAAGGGCAGUAAAUUAAUACUUUGCUGUUUUGACGUUACCGACAGAAUAAGCACCGGCUAACUCUGUGCCAGCAGCCGCGGUAAUACAGAGGGUGCAAGCGUUAAUCGGAAUUACUGGGCGUAAAGCGCGCGUAGGUGGUUCGUUAAGUUGGAUGUGAAAUCCCCGGGCUCAACCUGGGAACUGCAUUCAAAACUGACGAGCUAGAGUAUGGUAGAGGGUGGUGGAAUUUCCUGUGUAGCGGUGAAAUGCGUAGAUAUAGGAAGGAACACCAGUGGCGAAGGCGACCACCUGGACUGAUACUGACACUGAG
rnacentral:rRNA from 1 species